rnacentral:rRNA from 1 species
CCUACGGGAGGCAGCAGGGGGGAAUAUUGCACAAUGGGCGCAAGCCUGAUGCAGCGACGCCGCGUGGGGGAUGACGGCCUUUGGGUUGUAAACCCCUUUCAGCAGGGAAGAAGCGCAAGUGACGGUACCUGCAGAAGAAGCACCGGCUAACUACGUGCCAGCAGCCGCGGUAAUACGUAGGGUGCGAGCGUUGUCCGGAAUUAUUGGGCGUAAAGAGCUUGUAGGUGGUUUGUCGCGUCUGCCGUGAAAAUCCGGGGCUCAACCCCGGACUUGCGGUGGGUACGGGCAGACUAGAGUGUGGUAGGGGAGACUGGAAUUCCUGGUGUAGCGGUGAAAUGCGCAGAUAUCAGGAGGAACACCGAUGGCGAAGGCAGGUCUCUGGGCCAUUACUGACACUGAGAAGCGAAAGCAUGGGGAGCGAACAGGAUUAGAUACCCUGGUAGUCCAUGCCGUAAACGUUGGGAACUAGGUGUGGGUCUCAUUCCACGAGAUCCGUGCCGCAGCUACGCAUUAACGUUCCCGUCCGUCGGGUAGGUACGGCCGCGACGGACGUAAACCUACAAAGGAAGUUAGACGGCGUGAGACGUGCCGAACGGACGACGACGAGGGAGUAGG